rnacentral:rRNA from 1 species
CUACAGGCCCUAACACAUGCAGUCGAACGGUAACAGGAAGCAGCUUGCUUCUUUGCUGACGAGUGGCGGACGGGUGAGUAAUGUCUGGGAAACUGCCUGAUGGAGGGGGAUAACUACUGGAAACGGUAGCUAAUACCGCAUAACGUCGCAAGACCAAAGAGGGGGACCUUCGGGCCUCUUGCCAUCGGAUGUGCCCAGAUGGGAUUAGCUAGUAGGUGGGGUAACGGCUCACCUAGGCGACGAUCCCUAGCUGGUCUGAGAGGAUGACCAGCCACACUGGAACUGAGACACG